GUAUAAUUGACAUAUGAACCAUUGGUUUGCUCUGCUAAAAGCUAUCAGGAAUCAAUUAAAAAUCACUAAAGGAAAGGUAUGCUAUUGUAGGCUAUAUACAUGUGUUUUAAUUUAUUCCUAAAAAAUAUUUUGUUUCACAAAAUAAAUUAUAUUUGCACUAGUACAUGUACAUGUAGUGAUGAACAAUGUACAUGUAGAUAUUUGAAUGAUAACUGUUUUAUGGUCAAAAUACUUGAAUUGUUCUAUCUUGCAAUUUUUGUCAUCUUUUUUUUUGGGAAUCAUAUUUUUUGCUAAAUUGUUUCACACUUUGAAGAAAUUUCAGUAUGCAUUAGCUGGGAGAUAUUUGAAGACUGGUUAGCCUGUUUAAAUAUACACUUCUUUAAACUUUUGUACCAGUGUAAAGUACACAAAAUGAUGUAUCCUUCCAAAUAAUAAUGGUUCACAGAAAUAGUUUUGUUUUGUCUUUCAUACCUUGAGCAUUUAGUUUGUAUUAUUAUUUAUACUUAAUGUUUGUUAGUUACACAUAUUUGCAAUAUUUUCAAAUAUUCAGAGUUCUGUUUUUUUUAUGAAUGAGCAAUAUUGUGUGUAAUACAAGUAAAUGGACACUUUAGUACAUUUAUCUUCACUUUUUGAAUUUAUAUAUACAUGUUUGCUUUUAUCAUAUUUGAAAACAUUUUUGUAGUAG
rnacentral:lncRNA from 1 species